CAGGAUGAACGCUGGCGAGAUGCCUUACACAUGCAAGUCGUACGGGGAUUUUUAAUUCAAGUGGCGGACGGGUGAGUAACACGUAAGAAUUUGCCUUUAGGAGGGGGACAACAACUGGAAACGGUUGCUAAUACCCCAUAUGCUUUCGAGUGAAAUGGAUUUUUCCGCCUAAAGAGAAGCUUGCGGCUGAUUAGCUUGUUGGUGAGGUAAUGGCUCACCAAGGCGACGAUCAGUAUCUGGUUUGAGAGGAUGAUCAGACACACUGGAACUGAGACACGGUCCAGACUCCUACGGGAGGCAGCAGUGGGGAAUUUUCCGCAAUGGGCGAAAGCCUGACGGAGCAAUCUCGCGUGAGGGAUGACGGCCUAUGGGUUGUAAACCUCUUUUUUCAGGGAGGAACAAAAUGACGUGUACCUGAAGAAUAAGCAUCGGCUAACUCCGUGCCAGCAGCCGCGGUAAGACGGAGGAUGCAAGUGUUAUCCGGAAUCACUGGGCGUAAAGCGUCUGUAGGUGGUUUGAUAAGUCAACUGUUAAAUCUUGAAGCUCAACUUCAAAAUCGCAGUCGAAACUAUUAGACUAGAGUAUAGUAGGGGUAAAGGGAAUUUCCAGUGGAGCGGUGAAAUGCGUAGAUAUUGGAAAGAACACCGAUGGCGAAGGCACUUUACUGGGCUAUUACUGACACUCAGAGACGAAAGCUAG
rnacentral:rRNA from 1 species